rnacentral:rRNA from 1 species
AUGUCCCUCGAGAAUCCUGAGCACCCUGGACGGACACGAGGCACGCCAGGCUCCAUUCCGUGGAAGGUUGGUUUUCCGAAUGCAGGGGGUUACAAACCCCACGAGAGGAGGAAGAAACUGGAGCAUGGCCAACUGCAGGCGCUGCACGAAAGGGUAAUGAGGCUAGAGGAACGAGAAGCAGCAGAUCACAGCAAACGACCUGCCGAAGCUUCCCCUGAAGCUACCCCACCAUCUCAGCGGAGAAGCAGCGUGGCUUCCACUGAGCUGCUUCAGCCGGAGCAUGUCUUGACGGCUCCUGCAAUCUAUCUCGUGGAUGCUAUCACGGAGUCUCAACAUUGCCACAUUAUGGCGCGAUGGAUGAAUUUGAAGGUCAAGGCGGCUGUUGACUCUGUUUAUCCUACUGGAUCCGGAGCAACUUAUCACUGCCGGCCGAUUCCAGAAGGAUAUGCUAAGGUGAUGGUGGAUGACAUAACGAAGGGAUUUGAGGACCUCCUGCUUGACCACCCUACCGGUGAAGGGGAGACUAGGCUGGGUUCUGCUCUAAAGACUCCAUACUUAUGGCGGAAGGAGCUCAUCAACCUUCCGAACUGGAUGCCUCCGCCUCCUCCUCCUCCUCCGGUGAGUCAGGGCACUCCGCCUCCUCCACCGCCUCCUCCUCCGGCGAGUGACGAUCAGGGCACCGUCUGCUCCGGCGUCUAG